GAUGAACGCUAGCUACAGGCUUAACACAUGCAAGUCGAGGGGCAGCAUCAUCAAAGCUUGCUUUGAUGGAUGGCGACCGGCGCACGGGUGAGUAACACGUAUCCAACCUGCCGACAACACUGGGAUAGCCUUUCGAAAGAAAGAUUAAUACCGGAUGGCAUAGUUUUCCCGCAUGGGAUAAUUAUUAAAGAAUUUCGGUUGUCGAUGGGGAUGCGUUCCAUUAGGCAGUUGGCGGGGUAACGGCCCACCAAACCAACGAUGGAUAGGGGUUCUGAGAGGAAGGUCCCCCACAUUGGAACUGAGACACGGUCCAAACUCCUACGGGAGGCAGCAGUGAGGAAUAUUGGUCAAUGGACGAGAGUCUGAACCAGCCAAGUAGCGUGAAGGAUGACUGCCCUAUGGGUUGUAAACUUCUUUUAUACGGGAAUAAAGUUAGCCACGUGUGGCUUUUUGUAUGUACCGUAUGAAUAAGGAUCGGCUAACUCCGUGCCAGCAGCCGCGGUAAUACGGAGGAUCCGAGCGUUAUCCGGAUUUAUUGGGUUUAAAGGGAGCGUAGGCGGGUUGUUAAGUCAGUUGUGAAAGUUUGCGGCUCAACCGUAAAAUUGCAGUUGAUACUGGCGACCUUGAGUGCAACAGAGGUAGGCGGAAUUCGUGGUGUAGCGGUGAAAUGCUUAGAUAUCACGAAGAACUCCGAUUGCGAAGGCAGCUUACUGGAUUGUAACUGACGCUGAUGCUCGAAAGUGUGGGUAUCAAACAGGAUUAGAUACCCUGGUAGUCCACACAGUAAACGAUGAAUACUCGCUGUUGGCGAUAUACAGUCAGCGGCCAAGCGAAAGCAUUAAGUAUUCCACCUGGGGAGUACGCCGGCAACGGUGAAACUCAAAGGAAUUGACGGGGGCCCGCACAAGCGGAGGAACAUGUGGUUUAAUUCGAUGAUACGCGAGGAACCUUACCCGGGCUUAAAUUGCAACUGACUGAACCGGAAACGGUUCUUUUUUUCGGACAGUUGUGAAGGCGCUGCAUGGUUGUCGUCAGCUCGUGCCGUGAGGUGUCGGCUUAAGUGCCAUAACGAGCGCAACCCUUACGGGUAGUUACCAUCAGGUUAUGCUGGGGACUCUACCCGGACUGCCGUCGUAAGAUGUGAGGAAGGUGGGGAUGACGUCAAAUCAGCACGGCCCUUACGUCCGGGGCUACACACGUGUUACAAUGGGGGGUACAGAAGGCAGCUACACGGCGACGUGGUGCUAAUCCCAAAAGCCUCUCUCAGUUCGGAUUGGAGUCUGCAACCCGACUCCAUGAAGCUGGAUUCGCUAGUAAUCGCGCAUCAGCCACGGCGCGGUGAAUACGUUCCCGGGCCU
rnacentral:rRNA from 1 species